rnacentral:rRNA from 1 species
UACGUAGGGUGCGAGCGUUGUCCGGAAUUACUGGGCGUAAAGAGCUCGUAGGCGGUUUGUCGCGUCGUCCGUGAAAACUCGGAGCUUAACUCCGGGCGUGCGGGCGAUACGGGCAGACUUGAGUACUACAGGGGAGACUGGAAUUCCUGGUGUAGCGGUGAAAUGCGCAGAUAUCAGGAGGAACACCGGUGGCGAAGGCGGGUCUCUGGGUAGUAACUGACGCUGAGGAGCGAAAGCAUGGGUAGCGAACAGG